rnacentral:rRNA from 1 species
GACGAACGCUGGCGGCGUGCUUAACACAUGCAAGUCGAACGGAAAGGUCCUGCUUUUGUGGCUUGCUCGAUUGCCGAACGGGUGAGUAACACGCGUGUAACCUCCCCUUGUCUUUGUGAUAACUUCUCGAAACUGGGGCUCAUACCGCAUAUGAUCUCUUGCUGCAUGGUGGUGGUUGGAAAGAUUCGGCGGUUGGGGAUGGUUUCGCUGCUUAUGAGCUUGUUGGUGGGGUAGUGGCUUACCAAGGCUUUGACGGGUAGCCUGCCUUGGAGGUGUACCGGGGACAAUGGUCCUGAGGGACGGCGCAGAAUCCAACGGGAGGCAGUGGGGGGGAGUCUUACAGAACGGGGGGAAGCGUGAUGCAGCAGCGCCGGGUGCGGGAUGCCGGCCUUUGGGUUAUAAACAGAUUUGGAAGGUACCGAAGCGUGCGUGACGGUAAUGGGUAAGGAAGCCCCGGCUAACUACGUG